rnacentral:rRNA from 1 species
CGUAGGGCGCGAGCGUUAAUCGGAAUUACUGGGCGUAAAGCGUGCGCAGGCGGUUUGUUAAGAUAGGCGUGAAAUCCCCGGGCUCAACCUGGGAACUGCGCUUAUGACUGGCAAGCUAGAGUACGGCAGAGGGGGGUGGAAUUCCACGUGUAGCAGUGAAAUGCGUAGAGAUGUGGAGGAACACCAAUGGCGAAGGCAGCCCCCUGGGUCGAUACUGACGCUCAUGCACGAAAGCGUGGGUAGCAAACAGGAUUAGAUACCCUGGUAGUCCACGCCCUAAACGAUGUCAACUAGGUGUUGGGAGGGUAAAACCUUUUAGUACCGGAGCUAACGCGUGAAGUUGACCGCCUGGGGAGUACGGCCGCAAGGUUA